UCCUAGCGUUUGCUGCAAUGCACUCCAGGGACCUAGACAAAGAAGACCUGCAUGUGAUCAUCACCUUCCUCCAAAUGCAAUGUGACACCCAUCCACUGAUCCGUAACCUGGCAGCUGGACCAUAGAGAUCCUGCAACGUCAAGUACAGCAGCAACCCGCAUCAUCAAGAUGGGCUAGGCUAAAAGCACUGCGCUGCUGGCCGUGAAAAGCCAGGGAGCCGCAAAGCUUCCCUGGGGAAGAUCUCUCUGAAUAAAACUGCAACUACACGACCA